AAAAGUUUUAUGCGUGAUAGCCCGGUGAGCAUCUCCGCUCCGCUGCGCAAAAACUAAAUGCUGUGUGUGUUUUGUGCCACUUAAAAUAUUUCUAAAUUAUGCCAGGGGACUAUUUUUCGGAAUAUUGAGAUUUCGGAAUAUCGGGCCUUCGGAACACUGGACCGUCCCCAAAUGCCCCACUAGCUAAUGCCUUUACCCUGCUGCUAGUGAGGUUAAAUGCCCCGCUAGCUAAUGCCUUUACCCUGCUGCUAGUGAUGUUAAAUGCCCCGCUAGCUAAUGCCUUUACCCUGCUGCUAGUGAUGUUAAAUGCCCCACUAGCUAAUGCCUUUACCCUGCUGCUAGUGAGGUUAAAUGCCCCGCUAGCUAAUGCCUUUACCCUGAUGCUAGUGAGGUUAAAUGCCCCACUGGCUAAUGCCUUUACCCUGAUGCUAGUGAGGUUAAAUGCCCCACUAGCUAAUGCCUUUACCCUGCUGCUAGUGAGGUUAAAUGCCCCACUGGCUAAUGCCUUUAACCUGCUGCUAGUGAUGUUAUAUCCCCACUAGCUAAUGCCUUUACCCUGCUGCUAGUGAGGUUAAAUGCCCCACUGGCUAAUGCCUUUACCCUGCUGCUAGUGAGGUUAAAUGCCCCACUAGCUAAUGCCUUUACCCUGCUGCUAGUGAUGUUAAAUGCCCCACUAGCUAAUGCCUUUACCCUGCUGCUAGUGAGGUUAAAUGCCCCGCUAGCUAAUGCCUUUACCCUGCUGCUAGUGAGGUUAAAUGCCCCGCUAGCUAAUGCCUUUACCCUGCUGCUAGUGAUGUUAAAUGCCCCACUAGCUAAUGCCUUUACCCUGCUGCUAGUGAGGUUAAAUGCCCCGCUAGCUAAUGCCUUCCACAUGCCUUAAACCAGACACCUCUGUUGAUUAAAUGUCAAAGCCUCAAAAAGAAUUCAGUACAUUUUUGAAAGGUUUCAAAGCAUUACCUUUUCACAGGCCUAC
ensembl:lncRNA